AGUUUUAAAAUAUUGCCUCUGUAAAAUAAUGCCUUAAAAAAUUAAAUUGAUCUUGUUCUGUAAAUGAAAUUAAGUAAUUGUGCUUCAUUAUAUUUUUUAAAAGGAAGAUAAAAAUUCAAGAUAUUUUAGCAUGCAGCUUCCUAGAUGAUUUACUAGAGCUUAGGGAUGAGGAACUGUCAAAAAAGAGUCAAGAAACCAAUUGGUUUUCUGCUUCUUCUGCCCUUAGGGUUUAUGGUCAGUAUUUGAAUCUUGAUAAAGACCACAAUGGCAUGCUCAGUAAAGAAGAACUCUCCCGUUAUGGAACAGCAACCAUGACCAAUGUCAUCCUAGACCGUGUUUUCCAAGAGUGUCUCACUUACGAUGGAGAAAUG